GCUUAUCACCAUUCCAGAUUGAAUAUACCCGAUCUCGUCUGAUCUCGGAAGUCAAGCAAUCUUCGGGCUUGGUUAGUACUUGGAUGGGUGACCGCUUGGGAAUACCAAGUGUGAUAAGCA
rnacentral:rRNA from 1 species